CAGUCGCCGCGGUAAUACGUAGGGUGCGAGCGUUAAUCGGAAUUACUGGGCGUAAAGCGUGCGCAGGCGGUUCGUUAAGACAGAUGUGAAAUCCCCGGGCUUAACCUGGGAACUGCAUUUGUGACUGGCAAGCUAGAGUAUGGCAGAGGGGGGUAGAAUUCCACGUGUAGCAGUGAAAUGCGUAGAGAUGUGGAGGAAUACCGAUGGCGAAGGCAGCCCCCUGGGCCAAUACUGACGCUCAUGCACGAAAGCGUGGGGAGCAAACAGGAUUAGAUACCCGUGUAGUCCCUGUCUCUUAUAC
rnacentral:rRNA from 1 species